rnacentral:rRNA from 1 species
AAACCACAUCUUGCAAAAAUGCUAUCGUACGCACGGGAGGCGGGUAGCUAGACACAACAGCGAAGUAAAUGCCGUCAAGCGGGGACUUGAACGGAAAGGCUGCGUUGUCCAUGUCGAACCAAGUCUGCAAUGCGACUCGGGCUUAAAUAAACCGGACCUGGUGGGAAUCCGACAAAAUCACAUUUAUGUGAUAGACGUUCAGGUUGUGACAGACGGACAUUCCUUAGACCAAGCGCACCAGCGCAAGGUCGAAAGGUACGACAGAGCUGACAUAAGAUCACAAAUGCGGCGAUUUUUCGGAGUGACAGGUGAAAUCGAGUUUCAUUACGUUACACUCAACUUCCAGGAAUCUGGAGUGGUCAGUCGGUAAAACGAUUGAUUGCAAAAGAUCUCCUCAUCGCUGAAGAUUCCAAACUCAUCAGCGUCAGAGCAGUAAAUGGCGGAGUAUAUGUAUUGUGCUGGGUAUACUCGAAGCUAGAUGUACUAACCUCUAGCUUCUCUUAUACUUUUGCCUGCUACCUUGGCAUUACAUCUAAAAAGGUACAAACAUCGCAUUGUCAAAAAGAGGUGGUUUUAGUACGUAGGCGCUGUGGGACUUCAUUGUCCCGAUGAUGCAGCGAAUCGUGCAUACGAGAUUGUCCAGUAGUUGGUUGCUCGUAUCUUUAGAAGAACUCCUUCCUCGGCGAUCAAAAAAAAAAAAAAAAAAAAUAGCCAAAUGCCUCGUCAUCUAAUUAGUGACGCGUAUGAAUGGAUUAACGAGAACCCUACUGUCCCUAUCUACUAUCUAGCGAAACCACAGCCAAGGGAACGGGCUUGGAAUAAUUAGCGGGGAAAGAAGACCCUUUUGAGCUUGACUCUAAUCUGGCAGUGUAAGGGACAUAAGAGGUGUAGAAUAAGUGGGAGAUAUUAUUCCUUGUGUUUGAUAUCGCCAAUGAAAUACCACUACUCUUAUUGUUUCCUUACUUACUUGAUUAAAUGAAACGUGUAUCAUUUCCUAGCCAUUAUACGGAUAUAUUUAUUAUAUCUUAUGGUAUUGGGUUUUGAUGCAAGCUUCUUGAUCAAAGCUCCAAUUACUCAGGUAUGAUCCAAUUCAAGGACAUUGCCAGGUAGGGAGUGUGACUGGGGCGGUACAUCUCUCAAAUAAUAACGGAGGUGUCCCAAGGCCAGCUCAGUGCGGACAGAAACCACACAUAGAGCAAAAGGGCAAAUGCUGACUUGAUCUCGGUGUUCAGUACACACAGGGACAGCAAAAGCUCGGCCUAUCGAUCCUUUUGGUUUAAAGAGUUUUUAACAAGAGGUGUCAGAAAAGUUACCAUAGGGAUAACUGGCUUGUGGCGGCCAAGCGUUCAUAGCGACGUCGCUUUUUGAUCCUUCGAUGUCGGCUCUUCCUAUCAUUGUGAAGCAAAAUUCACCAAGCGUUGGAUUGUUCACCCAUGCAAGGGAACGUGAGCUGGGUUUAGACCGUCGUGAGACAGGUUAGUUUUACCCUACUAAUGACAAAACGUUGUUGCGACAGCAUUCCUGCGUAGUACGAGAAGAACCGCAGGUACGGACCAAUGGCACAAUACUUGUUCGAGCGAACAGUGGUAUGACGCUACGUCCGUUGGAUUAUGCCUGAACGCCUCUAACGUCGUAUCCGUGCUGGACUGCAAUGA